rnacentral:rRNA from 1 species
CCUACGGGUGGCAGCAGUCGAGAAUCAUUCACAAUGGGGGAAACGCUGAUGGUGCGACGCCGCGUGGGGGAAUGAAGGUCUUCGGAUUGUAAACCUCUGUCAUGUGGGAGCAAAUCAAAAAGAUAGUACCACAAGAGGAAGAGACGGCUAACUCUGUGCCCGCAGCCGCGGUAAUACAGAGGUGUCAAGCGUUGUUAGGAAUCACUGGGCGUAAAGCGUGCGUAGGCUGUUUCGUAAGUCGGGUGUGAAAGGCGCGGGCUCAACCCGCGGACGGCACAUGAUACUGCGUGACUAGAGUGAAGGAGGGGGAAGCGGAAUUCUCGGUGUAGCAGUGAAAUGCGUAGAUAUCGAGAGGAACACUCGUGGCGAAGGCGGGUUCCUGGACAUUAACUGACGCUGAGGCACGAAGGCCAGGGGAGCGAAAGGGAUUAGAUACCCUUGUAGUC